CGGGUGGUAAUGCCGGAUGCUCCAACUUUCCGCAUGGUUUGUUGGGAAAGCUUUCGCGGUAUGGGAUGGGGUCGCGUCCUAUCAGCUUGACGGCGGGGUAACGGCCCACCGUGGCUUCGACGGGUAGCCGGCCUGAGAGGGCGACCGGCCACAUUGGGACUGAGAUACGGCCCAGACUCCUACGGGAGGCAGCAGUGGGGAAUAUUGCACAAUGGGCGCAAGCCUGAUGCAGCGACGCCGCGUGAGGGAUGGAGGCCUUCGGGUUGUAAACCUCUUUUAUCGGGGAGCAAGCGAGAGUGAGUUUACCCGUUGAAUAAGCACCGGCUAACUACGUGCCAGCAGCCGCGGUAAUACGUAGGGUGCAAGCGUUAUCCGGAAUUAUUGGGCGUAAAGGGCUCGUAGGCGGUUCGUCGCGUCCGGUGUGAAAGUCCAUCGCUUAACGGUGGAUCCGCGCCGGGUACGGGCGGGCUUGAGUGCGGUAGGGGAGACUGGAAUUCCCGGUGUAACGGUGGAAUGUG
rnacentral:rRNA from 1 species